AUUUUCCUAUGAUUAUUUCCUUCAUUAUUGCUAUGCAUUGCGAGCAUAGAAGAACAAGGAAUAAUUGCAAUAUUAACGAUUAGAUUUCAAAAUGUUUCGAAAUAUCAUUUUGGUAUCAAUUGCACAAAUUGGUGUAUUGACAUUCCUAAUCGACACAACCCCCUACCUCCUUACAGGAAAAGAAGCUUUAAACGAGAUAUGCCUCUUUCAUUCAUCUUUAAUAUCAGCAAAUGAAACUACACCUGUAAAAUCAGCCAACCAAGCAAGCCUGAGACUAUGUCCGUCAUGUUUAAGACAAACAUAUCAAGAUGUAACGUGUAAACGAUGCGAACAGGCGACUCGGAAUGUUCGAACAAAUUUUCUGCUCCAAGAAUUUUGUGCAGGUAGAGCUUACCAGUAUAUACUAAUGUUUGCUUGUCUUGUUGUGACUCUUGUCAACAGUAUUCCAUAUUUAAUACCACGUAGACACAGCGGACUAUUACCCAUGCGUUUUAAGUACACGCUGAAAGUUGUAGUGAAUGACAAGAAGAUAGGGACUAUGUUGAAUGUGUUGUGAUAUUCGCAUGAUUAACAGUACUGUUUUAAUGCUCUCGCUAUCAACAUUAAUGUUAUCAGAAUUAACAUCCGACCAUAAGAGUAAAACAUUUGUAGUCAUACAUGUACACUGUUGUAGUUCAAUUUUAUGAGCCCAUUAUUUAUUUUAUUUUCAUUGUUGAUGCUCUUUCUAAUUAAUGUAAAACUAUGUUUAUUUUAAUUGCCAUUUUCAUUAUUGAUGCUCUUUUUAAUAUAUGUAAAACUAUG